rnacentral:rRNA from 1 species
UACGUAGGUCCCGAGCGUUGUCCGGAUUUAUUGGGCGUAAAGCGAGCGCAGGUGGUUUAUUAAGUCUGGUGUAAAAGGCAGUGGCUCAACCAUUGUAUGCAUUGGAAACUGGUAGACUUGAGUGCAAGAGAGGAGAGUGGAAUUCCAUGUGUAGCGGUGAAAUGCGUAGAUAUAUGGAGGAACACCGGUGGCGAAAGCGACUCUCUGGCCUGUAACUGACACUGAGGCUCGAAAGCGUGGGGAGCAAACAGG